rnacentral:rRNA from 1 species
CAAGAAAUAACAAUACGGAGCCUUAUGGUUUUGUAAUUGGAAUGAGUACAAUCUAAAACCCUUAACGAGGNUCAAUUGGAGGGCAAGUCUGGUGCCAGCAGCCGCGGUAAUUCCAGCUCCAAUAGCGUAUAUUAAAGUUGUUGCAGUUAAAAAGCUCGUAGUUGAAAUUUUAGCGCGGUGAGCCCUCUACAAUGUAGCAGCGGCUCUCCGGGCUAAUACUCGCAAAGAAGCCUGUGCUCAUUAACUUGGGCGCAGGUUGAGUUGCGUCGUUUACUGUGAACAAAUUAGGGUGUUUAAAGCAGGCCUACGUUUGAAUACAUUAGCAUGGAAUAAUGAGAUAUGACUUUGGUCGUAUUUGUUGGUGACUGCCGGAGUAAUGAUUGACAGGAACUGUUGUGGGUAUUCGUAUGAGCAUGUCAGAGGUGAAAUUCUUGGAUUUUGAUCAGACGAACUACUGCGAAAGCAUUUNCCAAGGAUGUUUUCAUUAAUCAAGAACGAAAGUUAGGGGAUCGAAGA